AUUCACAGUCUGUAUUCAUACUGAAAAUCAAGAUCAAACGAGCUUUUGCCCAUCUGCUCCACUGGAGGUUUCUGUCCUCCCUGAGCUUGCCUUAGGACCUCCCUAAGGCGGUCCAAGAGCCCACUACAGGCUCGCCUUCCCGCCUCACCGGGUAAGUGAAAAAACGAUAAGAGUAAUGGUAUUUCACCGGCGGGGUCAAAAGAGCGACGUGUAGGAAAAGAGUGU